GUAGCUACAGGUAGUCCCCCUCUCACUCGGCUCACGGAUUUACCUGCACGUACACAGCGGGAACCACAGACUGUGAAGAAAACCCAGCAGUUGAAGCAGUCGACUGUGGUCACGUUUUUUAAAGCUGCGUGCUGAACACAAGAGGGAGGAUUCAUUAAAGCAGAGUACAACAUUGAUUGGGCAUCAGGAAUAGAAUUACUAAUACAUGUCUCUGUUGUGAGGUAAGACAGAGAUGCAUCUCUGCAGGAUUUUCAGGUUUAUAAAGGAGCUUGGUGGUAAUUUCCAGACUGCAGUGGGCUUUGGCCUGACAGGAAGUCUCUUUUAACAGCCCACAGCGACCAACAGCACUAAAGCCAAGACCAUGGGGCACACUCUCAAAUGUUGGACACAGCACUAAUGGAAUUCAUUUGGAGACAAAUGUGAGAUACAUAACCACAAUGUGCUGUAUGGGUGAUUGUUGGUGAUUCCCUUUAGGCUGUCAAGAAAAACACUUUGAGAUUUAAUGCACAGCAAAGCCCUCCUGACAUGCUCUCAUUUUCUUCCUUUUUCACUGAUCUCUCAGCAACACAGAGGAUGCUUUUCUUGUAUUAUGAACAGGAAAACACAUCACUUCCCUCCAGAUCCCUGCUGUUGAUAAAAUGAGCGCUAGCGCACUCAUGAUGACUCUGUGUACAUUAUGUGCCGGUGCAUCCAAGUACAGUAAAUGGGUCUGAAAUUGCAUGCAAUGGUCGUGCAUCUACACACACAUCUUUCAAGCACAGUGAACCCUGAGACUGAUUAGUACAUAGCAUGAUACACAGAUUGUCAGUUAGAGUUAGAGCAGAAUAUAAACCGGCAAACAGAUUUGGCUCUGGACGCACAUUAUCUAAAGCUCUGCUGUUUGUCUGUUCAGCUGGCCGUUGGAAGGAGGAGAGCAAACAUGUAAAUCCACGCUCAAACAUAUCAGGCUGUCAUUUAUAUUUCUGUUUUGCUUUCUCUCGUUCUGUUUCCUAACAUUUCCCAUUUCGGAUUCCUGUUAUUUUUCUGUCCAAAUUCAACUUCUCUGUAUUGUAUAUUAGGUACAGUGAUAGAGAAAUUAAUCAGAUCCUUUACUUAAGUAAAAGUACCAAUACUACAAUGUAAAAAAAACAUUACAAGUAAACAUCCUGCAUUCAAAAUCCUACUUAAUUAAAAGUACAGAAGUAUUAUCAGCAAAAUGUACUGUAAGUAUCAAAAGUAAAAGUACUCAUUCAGCAGAAAAAUGUUUCCUGUGACUGAUAUAUUAUUAUACAUGACAUUACUAGAUUGCUAAUACUGAUGCACUGAUGCACAAGCAGCAAUUUGCUGUUGUAACUAUUUUAUGUAUGGUUAGAUAGUAUAGUCCAGUGGUUCCCAACCUAGGGGUCAAGUCCCUCCAAAGAUAAAUCUGAGGGGUCUUGAGAUGAUUAAUGUGGUAGCAAAGAAGAAAUAAACUAAUUUUGCUACAUACUUUUUACAAUACAUUUUUGUUUUUUGGGAAAUAUUAUAUAAUUUUACCUUUUGGGGCAAAAGUUCUUGAACUGUUCUUUAAAUGAAACCAAUCUAAGCAGUUUACAACCACUGGUUUAAUCUUCAAAAAUAGAUUGCAUUUAAUAAUCUUAUCAUAUGUUUUUGUUAAGCUUGAUCUGUAAAAUAACUAGAAACUAUAGCUGUUAAAUGCACAAUAUUUUCCUCUGAAAUGUAGUGGAGUAUAAGUAUACAACAGCAUAAAAUUUAAAUACUCAAGUAAAGUACAAAUACAUAAAAAAAAUUACUUAAGUAUAAUAUUUGACUAAAUGUACUUAGCUACUUUCCACCAAUGAUUAGGUAUCUCAGUAUAUGAACAAGGCUAUAAAGGUUAUAUAACUUUGGGGUGGGUCUAGGGAUGGCAAUAUACAGUAAGUUGGUCAGUCCAACACUUUGGGCCAGACUGAGAUAUCUGAACAACUAUUGGAAGGAUUGCCCUGGAAUUUUUCUACAAACAUUCGUGGUUUCCAGAGGAUGAAUCCUAAUGACCUUGUUGAUCCCCUGACUUUCUAUCAGUGGGCACCAACAGGUCAAAGUUGUCGAUUAUCCAGUGAAAUAUCUCAACAUCUAAUAAAUUAACUGGCACAGAAUUGUGUAGACAUUCAUGGUCCCCAAGCAUGAACCCUAAUAAGGCUGUUAAUUCCCUGACUUUUCAUCUAGUACCAUCCGUAGGCUGACAUUUUUGGUUCAGAGGGAAAGGUCCCAACAACUAUUGGAUGGACUGUCGUAAAAUUAGGUACAGAUGUUCAUUUUCCCCCACAGAAUUAUGACAGUAUUAUGAUAAUUUGUUGUUCCCCUGACUUUUCAUCAGCUUCAUCAUCAGGUUUUAUGACACUCUGUAACGCACUGUGUAACCUAUGCUAAGAAAAGUUUUAUUUUGCCAUCUCUUUUUGUCUGUGUCUCUAUUUGUCUCUCUUUCCUUCCUUAAUAAGUGGGAGUGAUCUCCCACUCCUUAUCUCUGCUCUGUAACACACUGCGUUCUUCAUCACAUUAAGAGAUAGAAAGAGUUGAAUAAAGAGACAGAGAAGGGAAGAAAAUGAAACUUCCGAUCAUUUCUCAUUAGCAGCAGCCUUUCACAGCAGAUCUAUUAAUGUCUUUUAUUCAGAAAAGCAUUAAUUGUCUCUACAAGGAGAGCGCAUGACAGUAUAAUAUUACAAAGGGGACAGUAUUAGGAACAAUGCCAUCUCUCUCACACACAAACACACAGCCACGGUGAUCUUGGUGGUAAAUGAGUGAUCCAUACGAGUGCAGCCAUGGUUAAUGUGGUAAUGAUAUUUCCACUCAAGGCCCAGCAGUGUCUGGCUCCUCACUGGCCCAUCUGCACCAGUUAGCUGCUCUAAUUUUAGCCCCGACGGUCGGAGGGCGGCUGUGAGGGCUGGGUGCCAUGGCUCAUUUAGACACAGGCUUAAUGGAAGAACAUCUUUCUCUAUCACAUACAGAGAAAGAUGUACUCAUUCAGUGCAUCUGAGUGCGUGAGAGAGCGUGUGUCUCUAUAUGUGAGCAAAAUAAAAAAGAAACUGAUUUUUUAUGUGUAAAAUAUAAAUGCAUGUUUAUUCAGCUGUAUAUUCAAUCAUGUCUACAACAAAACGCAUACUGAUGGUCAGUGUUUGCAAAGAGAAACAGACCAUGACAGUGAGUAAUCCGCUGUUUGGGGUUCUUGAGACAUUUGGAUCAGUAGUUUUUUAAAAGACAUUCUUUCCAAAAUGUGAUACCUGUAAUGCCGUCUUAAGCAAAUUAUUUGUUUACAAGGCAAAAAAAUCAAUACCAGCCUAUAUCGGUCAGUGGAAAGAGUAGGCUGAGGCAUCACAUUUUGUGAAGACUUGUUAAUGGAGGAGCAAUUUUAUUUCAUUUUCAUUUGUUGAGCAUCAACUGAAUGCAUCAUCAAAUCUCUCUGCACACAAUUUCAUCUGAUUCAAUUUGAGUCUUGAAAAAACUGGAAUGUAAAUGCAGCAUUUAACAAGAGUCUACAGCCAUGCUAACAGCUCUGUCAGGCUGUACUUAGGCACUAAACACAAAGUACAGCUGAGGCUGAUGGGAAUGUCAUUAGUUUUGUGAGUAUUUAGUCAUAAACCAAUGUAUUGGACAAAUUAAAAUUUUGGCAUUACAUGAAAAGUUAAGGGACCAGCUAAGUUAUUACACUUCAUCGUGAGGGGAUUGAAAGUAUGUAUCAAAUUUUAUGGCAAUCCAUCCAAAAGUCAUUUUGGUGGACCGACUGACCGACAUUGCAAUCUUUGGAGCCACGUGGCUAGCAUAGCUAAAAAUGAACUGAAUCAAUCUAGGCAGCAAUACUUAAAUGCAUGUAAACCUGGCAGUGAGGCAUUAGCUUAAAAAUGUAAUAUAUUGUGACGGCCAAACUUCAGCCUCAAACAAAAGCAGCUCAGUCUGUUUACUUUCAGGGCCGUAGCCAGGAGUUUUGAAAUACUGAGGUCACGAGUCGAAGUCCCCCCAACACCCACAUGUAUAAAAUUGUGUUCAAUUAUAAUGUAAGUGAGCAUUCCUAUGGAAGCCCAGUACUGAUGUUAAAUGAUGUUUCGGCCUAUCACUUAGUCCUGCAGUGAGUAUCAGGCUUUGCUGUCAUAAAUCUACUGAGCCCUCUGACAGGUGACACCAUCCUCUAGCCCUGACCUAACGUACCUUCAAGCUUCCUCUAAAAACUACACUCACCCAAGCAAAGAGCAGAUAAUCAGCGGCUUAACCAGACCUGAUAUCUACAUUGUAUCUGCUUAGGCUGAACUAGAGUGGCUGGCCCAAGUGACAUGAUAGGCAACUUCAUCUGAAUGCCCGCUCAGUUGUCCGAUCACCAUCACUGAAUCCUGCAGAAUUUUUCUAUUUUACUCGCCUGAAAAUACAGAAAAUCAGCAAAAAUGUUUAACUGUAAGAUAUAAACAUCAUAUAUUUGACAAUGGUAGCUAUGGCCCUGUCUAUUUUUAGUUUCUUCUGGGAUUCAUUCCCUCUAAUCAAAAAAUAUCUUAAUUCAGUCAAAAUUGGUGCUUUUCUAAGCUGUAUGAGCUGUAUUAGUGUUUUUAAAAAUUUAAAAGAGGGACAUUGAUGACAACAGGACUCUGCAGGCUUCCCCAGCCUGCCACUGUUUCAACUCAAUGGAUCUGUGUGAAUUUAGGCACAUAUGUAUUAUGUUUGUGUGUUUGCACUACACAGCUGUCUGAGGUCACCACAGGAAAAAAAUAACUUGGUGUCCUUUUCUGUCACAGCUCUCAGCAUCAAUUGCUUUCCCUUCACACACUCACAUACACUCACACACACACACACACACACACACACACACACACACACACACACACACACACACACACACAGUCAGCUAAUCAGAGGUCAGAAA